CAUCUCACGGAUUUCAGAGACAUAACUAACGCGAUCCUCAUUACUACGGCGAUCGCCAUUACUGAUUGAUAGAUCUAGUCAUAUAGAACUCAUACAAGUAUAAACCAAAUCAACAAAUACCUAAUCGGGUGAGAAACAAAUGAAACAAACAUAAAAGGGAAUAAAUCAAAUCGAAUAACGCAUAUCAAACAAAUAAAGAAAACUUGUACCCAGAUCGUCUUGCUACAGAUGCACUUUCCAAAUUCUUCAUGAUUGAUUGAUUGAUUCUACCUCAAAGACUCAAAGUUCAAACCCUAAGUUUUCCCUUUUCAAAUGUAUGAUUUAGGUGGUUGUGCUAUCGAUCAAACACCGUAUAUAUAACUGAACAAGUUUCAACUUAGCCCUCUACAUCUUAAUUAAUUACAAUCAAGUCUCGGAUUAAUAAAUAAUGCAACUAUAACCCCUAAAGACAGAAUAACAAAAACUUAACACACUACAAGAUAGUAAACACUAAAAUACCGUGUAAUAUAAUAAACCACAGGAUUCGUAUUAUUGAUUCACCGAAUAAUAGAUUACAAGGAGGUCCAAUAUAUAGGACAUGAUAUUACAUUUGAGCAUAGUUAUAUAUCUCAAACACAAAUUUACGAUAGACAUGGCAGCUCAACCUCUCGUAACUGACGUCCAAAUUUGA
rnacentral:lncRNA from 1 species